AGUCAGCAGCCUGACAAUUGAAAUUUGGUAAGUCGAUAUAUUUUAAAAUAUUUUGCUCUCCAAAUAGAAUUGUUUUUAAACAAUUGGGAGGUUUUUUGUUUCUUUAAAUAUGUUUUAAUUGUCAUUGUAAAAACAAAAUCUUGCUUGACCCUAUAUUAUGCCAUGAAUGAAUUGCUGAGCCUUUAUAAUACAGUGACAGCUUGUUUCAUGCAUAGUCAUGGAACAUAGAGAUGUUCUUUAAACUGACCUAUUGAUAAGAGGUUUAAUGAGUUUCACGGCUUUCAACACUAUUGUCAUAUAGUUAUCUUUGCCAUUUGGAGUUUAUAAAACCAUUUUAUGUAUUGUGAUACUAAAGGAAGUUGUUUUGCUUUACUUUAAAUUGAAUUAUUAGACUAAUAUUUGCAAAUUCUGCAUUUUAAAUGUGGACACUGGCUGUUUGAAAAAUAAAAUAUAGAAU
rnacentral:lncRNA from 1 species